rnacentral:rRNA from 1 species
GUGCCAGCAGCCGCGGUAAUACCAGCCCCGCGAGUGGUUGGGACGUUUACUAGGCCUAAAGCGCCUGUAGCCGGCCCUGUAAGUCCCUCCCUAAAGGCCCGGGCUCAACCCGGGAACCGGGAGGGAUACUGCAGGGCUAGGGGGCGGGAGAGGCGGGGGGUACUCCCGGAGUAGGGGCGAAAUCCGUAGAUCCCGGGAGGACCACCAGUGGCGAAGGCGCCCCGCUAGAACGCGCCCGACGGUGAGAGGCGAAAGCCGGGGCAGCAAAAGGGAUUAGAUACCCCUGUAGUCCCGGCUGUAAACGAUGCCGGCUAGGUGUCGCGUGGGCUUAGAGCCCACGCGGUGCCGCAGGGAAGCCGUUAAGCCGGCCGCCUGGGGAGUACGGCCGCAAGGCUGAAACUUAAAGGAAUAGGCGGGGGAGCACCACAAGGGGUGGAACCUGCGGCUCAAUUGGAGUCAACACCUGGAAGCUUACCGGGGGAGACCGCAGGAUGACGGCCAGGCUAACAACCUUGCCUGACUCGCGGAGAGGAGGUGCAUGGCCGUCGCCAGUUCGUGUUGUGAAAUGUCCGGUUAAGUCCGGCAACGAGCGAGACCCCCACCCCUAGUUGGUACCCUGGCCUCCGGGCCAGGGCCACACUAGGGGGACUGCCGCCGUAAGGCGGAGGAAGGAGGGGGCCACGGCAGGUCAGCAUGCCCCGAAACCCCCGGGCCGCACGCGGGUUACAAUGGCAGGGACAGCGGGAUCCUGCCCCGAGAGGGGUGGGCAAUCCCUAAACCCUGCCUCAGUUGGGAUCGAGGGCUGCAACUCGCCCUCGUGAACGAGGAAUCCCUAGUAACCGCAGGUCACCAACCUGCGGUGAAUACGUCCCUGCUCCUUGCACACACCGCCCGUC